rnacentral:tRNA from 1 species
AAGAAAUUAGUUAAAAAAUAACAUUAAAAUGUCAUUUUAAAAUUAUUAAAAAAUUAAUAUUUCUUA